UUUACAACAUUGGUGGUUCCUCCAUGCCCUCAAGAUAACACCCACACUCCUUAAUAGAGCUAUGAGGCACUCAUUCAACCAGGAUUUAUUGAGCAGGCCCUCUGUGCCAGGAGGGAGCGCAUGCUUCAGAAACUGAAAAGAAGGUCCCAUCUCUGGAGUGGAGAGGGCAAGCGUGUGCCAUGUGAGAUGAGACCCCAGCGGUGAGGAGGGGUGAAGUCACACAGGGAGGGCCAUCAGGCCGUUCAGAGAAGAUGUCCUCCCUCUUCUCCAGUAUAUGCAAUUGAAUCAAUGUCGCUGGGCUUCCAGAUGAGGUGGAGACCAGGGAAAUACAAGCCAGAUCCUUGGACAAG